rnacentral:rRNA from 1 species
CCUACGGGAGGCAGCAGUGAGGAAUAUUGGUCAAUGGGCGCGAGCCUGAACCAGCCAAGUAGCGUGCAGGAUGACUGCCCUACGGGUUGUAAACUGCUUUUAUAAGGGAAUAACGUGAGCCACGUGUGCCGUUUUGUAUGUACUUUAUGAAUAAGGAUCGGCUAACUCCGUGCCAGCAGCCGCGGUAAUACGGAGGAUCCGAGCGUUAUCCGGAUUUAUUGGGGUUAAAGGGAGCGUAGAUGGGUUGUUAAGUCAGUUGUGAAAGUUUGCGGCUCAACCGUAAAAUUGCAAUUGAUACUGGCAGCCUUGAGUACAGUUGAGGUAGGCGGAAUUCGUGGUGUAGCGGUGAAAUGCUUAGAUAUCACGAAGAACUCCGAUUGCGAAGGCAGCUUACUAAACUGCCACUGACAUUGAUGCUCGAAAGUGUGGGUAUCAAACAGGAUUAGAUACCCCAGUAGUC